CGGGGUGUGGCGCAGCUUGGUAGCGCGCGUCGUUCGGGACGACGAGGUCGCAGGUUCGAAUCCUGUCACCCCGAC
rnacentral:tRNA from 1 species